rnacentral:tRNA from 1 species
GGGGGUAUAGCUCAGUUGGUUAGAGCGCUUGCAUCACACGCAAGAUGUCGUUGGUUCGAAUCCGACUACUCCCACCA